rnacentral:rRNA from 1 species
AACAAGGAUUCCCCUAGUAACUGCGAGUGAAGCGGGAAGAGCUCAAAUUUUAAAUCUGGCGGUCCUCGUGGUCGUCCGAGUUGUAAUCUAGAGAAGCGUUUUCCGCGCUGGACCGUGUACAAGUCUCCUGGAACGGAGCGUCAUAGAGGGUGAGAAUCCCGUCUCUGACACGGACUACCAGGGCUUUUGUGAUGCGCUCUCGACGAGUCGAGUUGUUUGGGAAUGCAGCUCAAAUUGGGUGGUAAAUUCCAUCUAAAGCUAAAUAUAGGCGAGAGACCGAUAGCGAACAAGUACCGUGAGGGAAAGAUGAAAAGAACUUUGGAAAGAGAGUUAAACAGUACGUGAAAUUGCUGAAAGGGAAACGCUUGAAGUCAGUCGCGUUGGCCGGGGAUCAGCCUUGCAAUCUUGUUGGGUGCAUUUCCUGGUUGACGGGUCAGCAUCAAUUUUGACCGUCGGAGAAGGGUUGAGGGAAUGUGGCAUCCUUCGGGGUGUGUUAUAGCCUUUGAUCGUAUGCGACGGUUGGGAUUGAGGAACUCAGCAUGACCCCUCGUGGGUUUGGGGCUUCGGCUCACAUCCAUGCUUAGGAUGCUGGCAUAAUGGCUUUAAGCGACCCGUCUUGAAACACGGACCAAGGAGUCUAACAUGCCCGCGAGUGUUUGGGUGUUUAAAACCCGAGCGCGUAAUGAAAGUGAAAGUUGAGACCUCUGUCGUGGAGGGCAUCGACGCCCGGACCAGAACUUUUGUGACGGCCCUGCGGUAGAGCGUGUAUGUUGGGACCCGAAAGAUGGUGAACUAUGCCUGAAUAGGGUGAAGCCAGAGGAAACUCUGGUGGAGGCUCGUAGCGAUUCUGACGUGCAAAUCGAUCGUCGAAUUUGGG